rnacentral:rRNA from 1 species
GACGAACGCUGGCGGCGUGCUUAACACAUGCAAGUCGAACGGAAAGGCCUCUUUCGGGGGGUACUCGAGUGGCGAACGGGUGAGUAACACGUGAGUAACCUGCCCUUGACUUUGGGAUAACUUCAGGAAACUGGGGCUAAUACCGGAUAGGAGCUCCUGCUGCAUGGUGGGGGUUGGAAAGUUUCGGCGGUUGGGGAUGGACUCGCGGCUUAUCAGCUUGUUGGUGGGGUAGUGGCUUACCAAGGCUUUGACGGGUAGCCGGCCUGAGAGGGUGAGCGGCCACAUUGGGACUGAGAUACGGCCCAGACGCCUACGGGAGGCAGCAGUGGGGAAUAUUGCACAAUGGGUGGAAGCCUGAUGCAGCAACGCCGUGUGCGGGAUGACGGCCUUCGGGUUGUAAACCGCUUUCGCUCAUGACGAAGCUUUGUGUGACGGUAGUGGGUAAAGAAGCACCGGCUAACUACGUG